rnacentral:tRNA from 1 species
GGGGAUGUAGCUCAGUGGUAGAGCGCAUGCUUUGCAUGUAUGAGGACCCGCGUUCAAUCCCGGUAUCUCCA